AAAACAUGUCUUUUUGAAAAUAAUAUAAAGUCUAAUCUGCCCACUGAUUUUUAAAUUGAAGGGCUGCAGUAUAUUGACUGUACAAAGGUAGCAUAAUCAUUAGUCAUUUAAUUGAUGACUUGUAUGAAAGAUUGAAUGAGAUAUAUACUGUCUCUAAUUUAAUUAUAAAAUUUAAUUUUUUUAUUAAAAAGUUAAGAUAUUUUAAAAAGACGAGAAGACCCUAUAGAGUUUAAUUGAUUAUUAAUUUGAUUUUAUUUUGAAAAAUAAUAAUGAAAUUUAAUAGUUUAUUUUAUUGGGGUGAUAAAAAAAUAAAUAAAACUUUUUUUAAUAAAAAACAUUUAUAAGUGGGUAAAUGAUCCAAUAAUAUUGAUUAUAAGAAAAAAUUACCUUAGGGAUAACAGCGUAAUUUUUUUUUUUAGUUCAAAUAAGAAAAAAAGUUUGCGACCUCGAUGUUGGAUUAAGAUAAAAUUUAAAUGUAGAAGUUUAAAAUUUUGAUCUGUUCGAUCAUUAAAAUCUUACAUGAUCU
rnacentral:rRNA from 1 species